rnacentral:rRNA from 1 species
UACGUAGGGUGCAAGCGUUAAUCGGAAUUACUGGGCGUAAAGCGUGCGCAGGCGGCUAUGCAAGACAGAUGUGAAAUCCCCGGGCUCAACCUGGGAACUGCAUUUGUGACUGCAUAGCUAGAGUACGGUGGAGGGGGAUGGAAUUCCGCGUGUAGCAGUGAAAUGCGUAGAUAUGCGGAGGAACACCGAUGGCGAAGGCAAUCCCCUGGACCUGUACUGACGCUCAUGCACGAAAGCGUGGGGAGCAAACAGG